UUGGCUUAGUGGCACGCUCGGAGCACAUUCCUUGCCUUAAGUACCUGAGAAGUCCCAUUGACUUCAAUGGGGCGACUAAUGUGCUUGAUUAAAGGAAGAUGCAGCUUGAAGAAAGAUGACCAAGAUGAACUUGCUGGGAAAAAUGCAGUCCAUCUUCUUCAGCACUGAAGACAAAUAGAGAUACGCUUAGAAAGGCAGAGAUAAAACAAUUCUACGUACUAUCCAAGUAUUUCAGAAAGCAUCAAAAAAAGCUGCAAAACAAAGGACUGACAAGUUGCUAAUCCAAUCCUCUGACUGUCACAGGGUGCGAUAUAAAAGAGAUCCUUUGUUCUUUUAGAGCUGAUUGAGCUCCAUUAGUAUCCACACUCAGAGCCCUGGGCACAAUAUUAAUGCUAAUACCGUUGUUACGGAGAUGGAAAGCCGUUAAGAUUGAACACAGCUCACAAUAUCAUUGGACAUAUUCAUGCAGCAUGUAGUGUGGUGAGAUCCGAUAGCUCUGAACCUUUCUAAAGAGAAAACGAAAAUCCAAUUAACAUCUUCUGUGUAAACCUCCUCAGCUACUUUCACUGGAGAUGACCUUGGGCAGCUGUGUUGCAAUUUUGCCAAAACCCCAAUUAUGUCUUUAAUUCAGCAGCGUCGUCGGGCUUUGCCAAACAGAAGGCCUGGCUCGGCAGCUCACUCCUUGUGCUGGGUGACAGUCGUCACAUAAGUCUCAGCCGUUGGCACACUCUGUGCUGAGCUGCAGCAUGCAUGGUCAGCAAUCAGCCUUCAGGCUCUACAAACCCAUGGCCACACUCAAGCCAACCAGCAAAAAAAUUCCUUUUCUCCCUCUCCCAGCUCCAGUUAAAACCCCGAAGCUCAUACAUGCCCUUCCAUUGCGUCUUGGCCAGUGCUGAUGGGGCAGAUGGCUGGCAUGAUCUGGAGAGCUGGUAAUUAAUUCCUGCUGAUGAAGCAUGCAGAGAGGGGAGGAGAGGCUCCACGUGCCUUGUUCAGGACUUCCCUCCUGCCAAAGGAGGAAUGGAAGGAAGAAAGCACACCUCAGUACUUACAACCUGCCCUCCUUAUCUCUCUUUUUGACAAGCAACCCACAAUUAGACCGGCAGAUACUGCAGGAUGAUGAGUGCUCAUCCCGGUGGCCAACACGGCCUCAGGCUUUUCCAGCAGCAUCCACACGAAGAUCUGGUCUUAAUCACCAGGAGCAGGACCUGUGAAGAACCGAAGACCUUGUUGGGAAACAGAGCAUUAAUUUCCCACCAGCACGGGGAGCUCCUGGAUGUAAGGCUUUUCCCUCUCGUGACUGUUCAAUUAACGAGGAAAGAGGUAAGAGAUUUGUUAACAGCUGUGCUACUGCCUCAGAGACCUUCAAUAGGAGCUGUAAGUUGCACGCAACCUGAAACACUACGGCUGCUGUCAACACCACGACUGAAGGAUCCCCCAAAAUAAAGCAUUUUGAACUCUUUCCUUUCAUUUCCUUUUCAUUAUACCAGGGUGAUACUGCCUUAUCUCAAACACACACUUGCAUAUUUGCACACUAUAAUGGAGAAACAGCACUACAUACAGGUCCCUAAAAGUAAACACCAAACUCUGCAUAUUUUGUACAUAAUUAGGGAGAUUCUUCAGGAUUUAUUAUUUUUUUCCCCAAAGCUGUUAUUGCUUGAUUUGGCUGUCAUCUGUGUCACUUCCAUGGAAGGCUUUACUCUUUUAGAAGAGGAAAAUCAGAACAGCAAGCUAAUAACUUGUUACAACAGUGAGAUUUAAGGAAGGGAAUAAUGAAGUAGAGCUGCUGGCAUCACAAUGGUUGUUAUACCAUUAGACCUCCUUAAAUGAAACAGUUCAGGAUCAGCCUCUGCUUUAGAAGGUGUCCUUGGGACUGACCGGUACCUGAUGGACAUAAACAUCCUUGGAGUACUUGUAUACUUGUUGGCCAGGUGUGUAUGCUCUGGGCUGAAAACUGGCUUCAAAAUUGGCCUGAAAGGAAAACAGCUUCCCCAUAGAUUCCCCCUAGUCCAAUACCAACCAACCAAAUUUAGUCUCAACCUUAUCCUUUUGAUUUAAUUUCCUGGUGUAUUAAUUUUGGCCAUUCAAUCUCAUUGAUCUAUUGAGUCCAACUCAGCUGUGACCUUGAUUAGAUUACUUAAUUGGCUUAGCAAACCUGGGGUGCAUUAGCUCUGUAACAUGCUUGCUUGAUUUCUGUACGUGCCAGCUUAUUCUUUCUUAUAUAAUCUAUAAAAAGUAAAUAGAACUUAUUUUGCAUAAAAUGGCAGUCAAGCCUGGAAAUUCAAGGGCAAAUAUAACUCAGGUAGGUGUAUGCCACUUCUUUCCUCCUAGCAAAGGCCGAAGAGUUUAAUGUUGCCUUGUUCAGAUCUGGAGAUGUUUGAACAUUGACACGUGCCCUUCAGUAAGUCUUCCUACUUUAACAGAUCACUGUCCAGUAGCACUUUGGCUGAGGUAUGAGUUCUCAUUUUCUUCAGAUAGCUGCUGUGGGUGUUGUUCCUGCCGGUAGAAACAGAGGAAGGAGCAGCCGAUGGCAGUAUCUUCUGCAGAUACAGUAAAACUUCCUCACGUUUCACUCAGGGCCCUAUCAUUGUUAUACCUGAUUGAACCAAUCCUCAGCUGCUGCUGAGAUUCUAAGCAUGCCAAUGCAAUGCACUGGCAUUUCUGCAUUUGCUUCAUUUGCAUUUAAACAAUCAAGAUUUUUAAUUAAAAUGCAUAAAUGAGUCAUC
ensembl:lncRNA